rnacentral:rRNA from 1 species
AGCGGCGGAUGGGUGAGUAACACGUGGGGAACCUGCCCCUAAGUCUGGGAUACCAUUUGGAAACAGGUGCUAAUACCGGAUAAUAAAGCAGAUCGCAUGAUCAGCUUUUGAAAGGCGGCGUAAGCUGUCGCUAAGGGAUGGCCCCGCGGUGCAUUAGCUAGUUGGUAAGGUAACGGCUUACCAAGGCGACGAUGCAUAGCCGAGUUGAGAGAUUGAUCGGCCACAUUGGGACUGAGACACGGCCCAAACUCCUACGGGAGGCAGCAGUAGGGAAUCUUCCACAAUGGACGCAAGUCUGAUGGAGCAACGCCGCGCGAGUGAAGAAGGUUUUCGGAUCGUAAAGCUCUGUUGUUGGUAAGGAAGGAUAGAGGUAGUAACUGGCCUUUAUUUGACGGUAAUCAACCAGAAAGUCACGGCUAACUACGUGCCAGCAGCCGCGGUAAUACGUAGGUGGCAAGCGUUGUCCGGAUUUAUUGGGCGUAAAGCGAGCGCAGGCGGAAAAAUAAGUCUAAUGUGAAAGCCCUCGGCUUAACCGAGGAACUGCAUCGGAAACUGUUUUUCUUGAGUGCAGAUGAGGAGAGUGGAACUCCAUGUGUAGCGGUGGAAUGCGUAGAUAUAUGGAAGGACACCAGUGGCGAAGGCGGCUCUCUGGUCUGCAACUGACGCUGAGGCUCGAAAGCAUGGGUAGCGAACAGGAUUAGAUACCCUAGUAGUCCAUGCCGUAAACGAUGAGUGCUAAGUGU